rnacentral:rRNA from 1 species
AACAGCCAGAAAUGGGCUGCUAAUACCCGCAUAAGACCGAAGCGCCGCAUGGCGCGGCGGCCCAAAGCCCCCGGCGGUGCAAGAUGGGCCCGCGUCUGAUUAGGUAGUUGGCGGGGUAACGGCCCACCAAGCCGACGAUCAGUAGCCGACCUGAGAGGGUGACCGGCCACAUUGGGACUGAGACACGGCCCAGACUCCUACGGGAGGCAGCAGUGGGGAAUAUUGCACAAUGGGGGAAACCCUGAUGCAGCGACGCCGCGUGAAGGAUGAAGUAUUUCGGUAUGUAAACUUCUAUCAGCAGGGAAGAAGAUGACGGUACCUGACUAAGAAGCCCCGGCUAACUACGUGCCAGCAGCCGCGGUAAUACGUAGGGGGCAAGCGUUAUCCGGAUUUACUGGGUGUAAAGGGAGCGUAGACGGCGAUGCAAGCCAGAUGUGAAAGCCCGGGGCUCAACCCCGGGACUGCAUUUGGAACUGCGUGGCUGGAGUGUCGGAGAGGCAGGCGGAAUUCCUAGUGUAGCGGUGAAAUGCGUAGAUAUUAGGAGGAACACCAGUGGCGAAGGCGGCCUGCUGGACGAUGACUGACGUUGAGGCUCGAAAGCGUGGGGAGCAAACAGGAUUA